rnacentral:rRNA from 1 species
AACGAACGCUGGCGGCAGGCCUAACACAUGCAAGUCGAACGCCCUAGCAAUAGGGAGUGGCAGACGGGUGAGUAACACGUGGGAACCUUCCCUAUAGUAUGGAAUAGCCCAGGGAAACUUGGAGUAAUACCGUAUACGCCCGAGAGGGGAAAGAUUUAUCGCUAUAGGAUGGGCCCGCGUAGGAUUAGCUAGUUGGUGAGGUAAUGGCUCACCAAGGCGACGAUCCUUAGCUGGUCUGAGAGGACGACCAGCCACACUGGGACUGAGACACGGCCCAGACUCCUACGGGAGGCAGCAGUGGGGAAUAUUGGACAAUGGGCGCAAGCCUGAUCCAGCCAUGCCGCGUGAGUGAUGAAGGCCUUAGGGUUGUAAAGCUCUUUUGCCGGGGGACGAUAAUGACGGUACCCGGAGAAUAAGUCCCGGCUAACUUCGUG